rnacentral:lncRNA from 1 species
GACGACAAAGUUAUUCAUAUUAUUAAAUUGCAAUAUUUACAAUGUCUAGAUGUUCUGUCAAGGAGAGGUUUGGCCAUCUAAUUGCGCGCCAAUAAAGAGAAAUCCUUAUCGGAAAGCCCCUUCUAUCCUGGGAACAACCUGGUUGUUAAAUAUUGUGAGUUAUAAUAUUAAUGAUGAAUAAGUUCGUGUUGAUUAAAGAUGAAUUUGAUAGUUCCAUUGUGUUGGGAUUAUUAGUGUUAGUUAAAAUCGACAUCUAUUCCGAUGAUAAUUGAUGGCUGGGGGUUAUAUUGACAAAUCGGGUAAUUAAUCGGAUAAAUGAGCAAUUAAUUGCUACUAAUUCACAUGCUUAUAUAACUAUUUGUUCACAUGUGUGUACUAUUGAAUCACAUUCAUGUACUAUUAGGGGAGUUGGUGCAAGAUUGAUAAUACUUGCAUGACUAAAUUAAAAAUGGAGGUAUAGAUGGAGGUACUAUACUGUAAUUUGUAUUUUCACAUGAAAAUAACUAUUGAUUCACAUAAUUGAACUAUUGAUUCACAUUAUUUACGAUUAGG